rnacentral:rRNA from 1 species
CUACGGGAGGCAGCAGUGGGGAAUUUUCCGCAAUGGGCGAAAGCCUGACGGAGCAACGCCGCGUGAGGGAUGAAGGCCUCUGGGCUGUAAACCUCUUUUAUCAAGGAAGAAGAUCUGACGGUACUUGAUGAAUAAGCCACGGCUAAUUCCGUGCCAGCAGCCGCGGUAAUACGGGAGUGGCAAGCGUUAUCCGGAAUUAUUGGGCGUAAAGCGUCCGCAGGCGGUCUUGUAAGUCUGUCGUUAAAGCGUGGAGCUUAACUCCAUUUCAGCGAUGGAAACUGCAAGACUAGAGUGUGGUAGGGGCAGAGGGAAUUCCCGGUGUAGCGGUGAAAUGCGUAGAUAUCGGGAAGAACACCAGUGGCGAAGGCGCUCUGCUGGGCCAUAACUGACGCUCAUGGACGAAAGCCAGGGGAGCGAAAGGGAUUAGAUACCCCUGUAGUCCUGGCCGUAAACGAUGAACACUAGGUGUCGGGGGAAUCGACCCCCUCGGUGUCGUAGCCAACGCGUUAAGUGUUCCGCCUGGGGAGUACGCACGCAAGUGUGAAACUCAAAG